GGGAGAGCGGCAGCGGGUGGGAGAUCGGGAGCCCCCCGAAAAAAACAGAGGCGCGCGUCGAUGCCAUCGAGGAUUUGGAACCUCAAUGGGUGGGAAUGUUUAAAUAUUGUGUGUUAGGUAGUCUAGUUUCAUAGACUAUGGAUUCUCAUGCAGCAAAAUGUUUCAGUCGCUCUUGAGCCAAAGACUUAAGGACGACUCGCAGUCCCCCCUUACAUUUGGCUGCCUAAGCCCCUGGAGCCACUAGCAAACUUGUUCUCGCUUGCACUGAAAAUAGAAAUUAAAAACCAAAGUAAACAAUCAAAAAGACCAAAAACAAUAACAACCCGCACCGAGCCGAGCAUCAGUGAGGCAUUGCAAAAAUUUCAAAGUCAAGUUUGCGUCGUCAUCGCGUCUGAGUCCGAUCAAGCCGGGCUUGUAAUUGAAGUUGUUGAUGAGCCGCGGGAUUACUGGAUUGUGGCGAAUUCUGAAUGCGACGGCGCCAUCAUCCUGUUUGGGAAUUCAAUUCGCGGGCAGCUCGCUUAAUUCAAUCAAAAGGUAAAAGUCGGUAAAAGGGAGCAGAAGAAUGCGAUCGCUGGAAUUUCCUAACAUCUCGGGAACCAUAAAUUUGAUAAGCCCGAGCUCGCUCCGUUGAGUCAGCCACCCCACAUUCGCACAUCGCCGCCAAAAGAAGACCGCUGGGUUGUUGACUCGCCAGAUUGAGAUGCGGAUUGCAGUGGAGUGGACCUGGUCAAAGAAGCACCGUUAAUGCGCUGAUCCCAUUCGAUUCCUUCCGGGAAUGCGAUAAAGAAAGGCUCUGCUACAGGCAACCGCAAUCCGGAUCUCGACUUUCUCUUGACAGUUCCAGAACGCGGAUUUGGUUGACACUUUCGUAUAUACGUACUAAUGGGAAAGCAUUCUAACGAAGACUUACCUUAUAGAGGAUGAAUCAUUUCCAUAUGGCCGAAAUUUAUUAUGUUUGCUAUCGUUUUCAGAGGUGUUUUUUGGAAUUACCAAAAGAGGCAUUUGUUUUCUGGGAUUAUCCAAAUGAGAAGAUAUUCCAAUUCUUGCUUGGAACAUUUUCAAGGUUCCGGAUAUAUUUGAAUACACUAGCUAGCAGUGCUGGAUGUUGUACUUGAGGAA